AGGGGCUUUUGAAUUGAAACAUGUCAGAGGUCACAAUUCCUAUAGUCAACCAGGGUGAAAUAGAACUGGAGGAACUUCCAAUUGGAAGAGGCGGGUACGGGACCGUGUACAGAGGAAAGCACCGACAGUUUGGCCAUGUAGCUGUCAAAACUCUUAUAAACAAUGGGCAAUUACCAAAGAAACACCUAGAUGUACUUUUAGAAGAGGCCAAAAAACUGAUGGAGUUUUGUGAACAUGAUGGUAUUCUUCACCUUCAUGGCCUCAUCAUGCAGAGGGACAACUACUCCCUCAUUUUGGAGUACAUGCCCCUUGGGAGCCUCAUUGACUUCCGCAAACAAUUCACCCCUCGGUUUCCCCUCUUUGUCAGAUUUUUUAUGCAGGUCUCAUCAGCCAUGGAUUUUCUUCACUCCCAUAAACCAACUAUUCUUCACCUAGAUCUGAAAGCAGACAAUAUUUUGUUGGAUGGUGCUAUGAAUGCAAAGGUAUCUGACUUUGGUUUAUCCGAAUGGAAAACUGUGACAAUGACGGCCACUCGACGGACAGAUAUCGCGGACUCAAGUGAGCGUCGUUGUACGGUAUCGCAUGUACCUCCCGAGCUGUGGAUUGACAUCAAUACACCUGCAGACCGAUUCUUUGACAUCUACAGCUUUGGUAUUUGUGUCUGGGAAACUCUGACAGGAGCAGUCCCUUAUGGGAGUAUGUGAACAUGUACUAGUCAGAUUUGUAAAAUCAAAAAUAGUGCAUGUUUGAUAUAAAAUUCAAGACAUGCGAUUUAAUCCCAAAAAAUCCUUGCAAAGUGAAGUGCAGUAAAACAGGUUAUAGUGAACACGCUUAUAAAGAAUUGACACUUUCAGCGAAGUGUUUUUCAUUCCCCAUGGCACUAUUACAUGUUGUAAACUUGAUGAAUGUAAUGAAUUACGCUCAUAAUGAAGUAAACUCGCCCAUCCCUGGCACUUCAUUAUAAGCGUGUUUUACUGUAGUAACUUCACAGUAAAAAGGACUUAUAUCAUAACUUCUUGCAUUUGACUUUUUAGAUGCUAGAGAUGACUUGAUUCGAUCGGCAGUACUGAGUGGACAGCGCCCUGAUUUUAGUCUCAUUCCAAGGUUUUGUCCACCCUUUCUGACAAAUAUUAUAACCCGCUGUUGGCAUCAGAAACCAACACAGAGACCAUCGUUUAGUACAUUGAAAAAAGAGAUUGAGGGAGAGUUUGAAAAAGAAUUUAAAAAAGACAUCAUUGCUGCAAUGAAAGAUGUACGAAGAGAAAUAAAAGAGUCUUAUCCUCCGAAUGACCUUAUCCAUAUUUACACCAAUCACAUUGACCACCUGACCAUUCCAGAACCUUCUCCGACUACUCUUCCUAAACAGGUGGAUUCAGGUCAAAGGUCAUAUGUGACCCCAAAUUCACAACAGCUGUCAACUUCUCAGGUUUCCCAGCAGCCUGUCGCCAUGGAAACAGAUGUUGAAACAGUAGAAACUGUAUUAUUCAAAAAGGAGUCGGAUAUGACAAAUGCCGAAAAAACAUUUAGAAAAAUUUUACGAGAUCCACUAGCUUUACUUAUGGCUCGAACUCAAUAUUGCAAAAACUUUUUUAAUAACCUUGACCUUAAAUAUAAAACUAUUUUGAAUGAUGAUGACAAAUUAAAAGAGUAUUUAGAUCAGGAUGAAAUGUUCAAGAAGGAAAUUUUAUGCCCUGGAAAUGACUUCUGGGGGAAUAUCAGUGGAACUCACCUACGCAUUGCUAAGGAUAGAGCACAGGGCUGGAAGCAAGCACAUCUUAAUGAGUUAGAGGGUAUAACAAGAUCAGGUCAUUAUGGCAAGUCAGAUUACAAUCAAAGAAAUGUGGAAACUUCUCGAACAGAAAGAAGGAAACGAGUGGAUAAAACCUUCAGUGAACAUCCACAUGUUACGGAGCUGAAAAAUAAAAGUAAUUACACUAGAGUGAAGAAAGCAUUAGAUAAUCCCCGACUGUAUGAAUCUCUGAUGAUGAAUCCUGAUGUGGCAGCAGGAAACAACCCCCUCAGUCUGACCACGCUUGACCCAGAGGUCAUCAAAUUUGCUAAGGACCCCAUUCUUCUUUUAGUCCUUCUGCGUACAGACUAUACUCUUAUGAAUAAACUGAUGAAACCAGAAAAUCAAGAGUUGUUGAUGAAGGUGUUUGCUGCGGCAAAACAGAAGUUACCUUUGCCAGGUGGAGGAUAUGUAACACGGCCAAGUAGCAGCAGUAGAAGGUUUAACCCAAUGGAGAUGCUGAAUAAUCCUGACAUGAUGAUGGCGUAUGAGAUGAUGGGGGGUAAUCCUCUGAGGAUGAUGAGGGGUUUAGGAAGACGACCCCCCAACAUGUCAAUGGACAGUGAUGAAGAGGAUGAUUACUUUUAUAUGGGUCGCAGAGAGGCACCAAGAAUUAAUAAAAACCAUGACUUCUUGAAAUAUCAUAGAAAAGAUUCAGAUAAAAAAUGACCAUUGAAAGUUCUUGCCUAUAGAUCCCCUGAGUCCCUGAGCAGUUACUGACCAUUUCCAGAUUAACCAAGGAAGAUUUUAUUGUGAUGAUUGAAACUAAAGUUUAUGAUUUCAUUGAAAACUAAUAUCUUAUACAUAUACAUGGAAAAUUAUUAAUGUAUAGUGUAUACCAAAAAUAAAUUUUAUGCAAAAUG
rnacentral:misc_RNA from 1 species